rnacentral:rRNA from 1 species
UGAAUACGAGAUGCUACGGCGUCGAAGCAGUCUAUGUCAUACUUCCAAGAAAAGCUCGCACUGUCAUAAACAAAUAAUGCCUGUACCAUAACCGAUACAGGUGGGUAGGUAGAGUAUACUAAGGGGCGCGAGAUAACUCUCUCUAAGGAACUCGGCAAAAUGACUCCGUAAUUUCGGGAGGAGGAGUGCCUUAUUUAUAAGGUUGCAAUAACAAGAUCCAAGCAACUGUUUAUCAAAAACACAGGUCUCCGCUAAGUCGUAAGACGAUGUAUGGGGGCUGACGCCUGCCCAGUGCCAGAAGGUUAAAGAAGUUGGUUAGCAUUUGCGAAGCUGAUAACUGAAGCCCUGGUGAACGGCGGCCGUAAUGAUAACGGUCCUAAGGUAGCGAAAUUCUUUGUCGGGUAAGUUCCGACCCACACGAAAGGCGUAAUGAUUUGGAUACUGUCUCGGAGAGGGGCUCGGUGAAAUAGACUUGUCUGUGAAGAUGCGGACUACCUGCACCAGGACAGAAAGACCCUAUGAAGCUUUACUGUAACUUGAGAUUGAAAUUGGACUUUACUUGCGCAGUAUAGGUGGGAGGCGUUGAUAAUAUUCUUGUGGGAUUAUUUGAGCCAUCAGUGAGAUACCACUCUUGUAAUGUUAGAUUUCUAACUUUGUAUCAUUAUCUGGUCAAAGGACAGUUUCAGGCGGGCAGUUUGACUGGGGCGGUCGCCUCCUAAAUGGUAACGGAGGCGUACAAAGGUUUCCUCUGAACGGGUAGAAAUUGUAUCUAGAGUGUAAAGGCAUAAGGAAGCUUGACUGUGAGACCUACAAGUCGAGCAGGGACGAAAGUCGGUCUUAGUGAUUUGACGGUGCUGAGUGGAAAGGCCGUCACUCAACGGAUAAAAGUUACUCUAGGAUAACAGGCUGAUCUCCCCCAAGAGUUUAUAUCGACGGGGAGGUUUGGCACCUCGAUGUCGGCUCAUCGCAUCCUGGGGCGGUAGUACGUCCCAAGGGUUGGGCUGUUCGCCCAUGAAAGCGGUAUGUGAGCUGGGUUCAGAACGUCGUGAGACAGUUCGGUCCAUAUCCGGUGUAGGCGUUAGAAUAUUGAGAGGAGCCUUCUUUAGUACGAGAGGACCGAGAAGGACAUACCUCUGGUGUACCAGUUAUCGUGCUAACGGUAAAUGCUGGGUAGCUAUGUAUGGAGUGGAUAACCGCUGAAAGCAUCUAAGUGGGAAGCCCACCUCAAGAUAAG